GCGGUAGUAGCUCAGUUGGUUAGAGCGCUUCCUUGCCAAGGAAGAGGUCGCCAGUUCGAAUCUGGUUUACCGCUCCA
rnacentral:tRNA from 2 species